GUAACGGCGAGUGAAGCGGCAACAGCUCAAAUUUGAAAUCUGGCCUCUUCGGGGUCCGAGUUGUAAUUUGUAGAGGGUGUUUCGGGCGCGAUGCCGGUCUAAGUUCCUUGGAACAGGACGUCGCAGAGGGUGAGAAUCCCGUACGCGACCGGCGAUCAAGCCUGUGUGAAGCCCCUUCGACGAGUCGAGUUGUUUGGGAAUGCAGCUCAAAAUGGGUGGUAAAUUUCAUCUAAAGCUAAAUAUUGGCCAGAGACCGAUAGCGGACAAGUAGAGUGAUCGAAAGAUGAAAAGCACUUUGGAAAGAGAGUCAAACAGUACGUGAAAUUGUUGAAAGGGAAGCGCUUGCAAUCAGACCGGUCCGGAGGCGAUCAGCCGCUGCUCGUUCAGCGGUGCACUCGCCUGCGAUCCGGCCAGCAUCGGUUUGGGCGGUGGGAUAAAAGUCCCGGGAAUGUAGCUUCUCUCGGGGAGUCUUAUAGCCCGGGUCGCAAUGCCGCCUGCCCGGACCGAGGACCGCGCUUCGGCU
rnacentral:rRNA from 1 species